AGAGGAUGCUUCGGGUUCGGCUCCGGUCUAAGUUCCUUGGAACAGGACGUCGCAGAGGGUGAGAAUCCCGUACGUGACCGGCCGCCACGCCCGUGUGAAGCUCCUUCGACGAGUCGAGUUGUUUGGGAAUGCAGCUCAAAAUGGGUGGUAAAUUUCAUCUAAAGCUAAAUACUGGCCAGAGACCGAUAGCGCACAAGUAGAGUGAUCGAAAGAUGAAAAGCACUUUGGAAAGAGAGUCAAACAGUACGUGAAAUUGUUGAAAGGGAAGCGCUUGCAACCAGACUUGCCCGCGGGUGAUCAGCCGGUAUUCGUACCGGUGCACUCGCCCGUGGUCAGGCCAGCAUCGGUUUGGGCGGCUGGAUAAAGUCCACCGGAACGUAGCUCCUCUCGGGGAGUGUUAUAGCCGGAGGUGCCAUGCAGCCCGCCCGGACCGAGGACCGCGCUUCGGCUAGGAUGCUGGCGUAAUGGUUGUAAGCGACCCGUCUUGAAACACGGACCAAGGAGUCUAACAUCUAUGCGAGUGUUUGGGUGUCAAACCCAUGCGCGUAAUGAAAGUGAACGGAGGUGGGAACCCUUCAGGGUGCACCAUCGACCGAUCCUGAUGUCUUCGGAUGGAUUUGAGUAAGAGCAUAGCUGUUGGGACCCGAAAGAUGGUGAACUAUGCCUGAAUAGGGUGAAGCCAGAGGAAACUCUGGUGGAGGCUC
rnacentral:rRNA from 1 species